GGCGGACGGGUGAGUAAUGUCUGGGAAACUGCCUGAUGGAGGGGGAUAACUACUGGAAACGGUAGCUAAUACCGCAUAACGUCGCAAGACCAAAGAGGGGGACCUUCGGGCCUCUUGCCAUCAGAUGUGCCCAGAUGGGAUUAGCUAGUAGGUGGGGUAACGGCUCACCUAGGCGACGAUCCCUAGCUGGUCUGAGAGGAUGACCAGCCACACUGGAACUGAGACACGGUCCAGACUCCUACGGGAGGCAGCAGUGGGGAAUAUUGCACAAUGGGCGCAAGCCUGAUGCAGCCAUGCCGCGUGUAUGAAGAAGGCCUUCGGGUUGUAAAGUACUUUCAGCGGGGAGGAAGGGAGUAAAGUUAGUACCUUUGCUCAUUGACGUUACCCGCAGAAGAAGCACCGGCUAAC
rnacentral:rRNA from 1 species